AAACCAUGCACCGAAGCUGCGGCAGCGACACUAUGUGUUGUUGGGUAGGGGAGCGUUCUGUAAGCCUGUGAAGGUGUACUGUGAGGUAUGCUGGAGGUAUCAGAAGUGCGAAUGCUGACAUAAGUAACGAUAAAGCGGGUGAAAAGCCCGCUCGCCGGAAGACCAAGGGUUCCUGUCCAACGUUAAUCGGGGCAGGGUGAGUCGACCCCUAAGGCGAGGCCGAAAGGCGUAGUCGAUGGGAAACAGGUUAAUAUUCCUGUACUUGGUGUUACUGCGAAGGGGGGACGGAGAAGGCUAUGUUGGCCGGGCGACGGUUGUCCCGGUUUAAGCGUGUAGGCUGGUUUUCCAGGCAAAUCCGGAAAAUCAAGGCUGAGGCGUGAUGACGAGGCACUACGGUGCUGAAGCAACAAAUGCCCUGCUUCCAGGAAAAGCCUCUAAGCAUCAGGUAACAUCAAAUCGUACCCCAAACCGACACAGGUGGUCAGGUAGAGAAUACCAAGGCGCUUGAGAGAACUCGGGUGAAGGAACUAGGCAAAAUGGUGCCGUAACUUCGGGAGAAGGCACGCUGAUAUGUAGGUGAAGUCCCUCGCGGAUGGAGCUGAAAUCAGUCGAAGAUACCAGCUGGCUGCAACUGUUUAUUAAAAACACAGCACUGUGCAAACACGAAAGUGGACGUAUACGGUGUGACGCCUGCCCGGUGCCGGAAGGUUAAUUGAUGGGGUUAGCCGCAAGGCGAAGCUCUUGAUCGAAGCCCCGGUAAACGGCGGCCGUAACUAUAACGGUCCUAAGGUAGCGAAAUUCCUUGUCGGGUAAGUUCCGACCUGCACGAAUGGCGUAAUGAUGGCCAGGCUGUCUCCACCCGAGACUCAGUGAAAUUGAACUCGCUGUGAAGAUGCAGUGUACCCGCGGCAAGACGGAAAGACCCCGUGAACCUUUACUAUAGCUUGACACUGAACAUUGAGCCUUGAUGUGUAGGAUAGGUGGGAGGCUUUGAAGUGUGGACGCCAGUCUGCAUGGAGCCGACCUUGAAAUACCACCCUUUAAUGUUUGAUGUUCUAACGUUGACCCG
rnacentral:rRNA from 1 species